rnacentral:lncRNA from 1 species
CUCUAUCUCUCUAUCUACUAUUCUCUCUGGAACCUUCCACCUCCCCUCCUCUCUGAUGAGUUGCCUUCAUCUUCUCCGUUCACUUUCUGACCUGAAUCCAUGGUGGUUUCACCACCCACCCGUCUACUAUGGCUCCUCAAGCUUUAUUACUAAAUUCCCAUGACUUGACCACAGAGAGCUGAAUCUGGACCUUUCUCAAUUCAAGUUCUACGGCCAUCUCCGGCUCGAAUCCGGCGUAUCCUAGCCCUAUGAGUCCAUCUCUAACUUGUUCGACUUGGACCAGCCCUUUUUUCAAGCCACUCUCAUUUCUAUGGUUUCGCUGAAACCCUAUGCCAUUUCGAGGUUUCUUAUUUCUCUCUAGAUAUGCUUUAAAUCAGUGUUACUUCUGAGGUUUUCAAAGGAUUUCCUAUAUCUUUUUCAAUUUUUUUCUUUCAAAAACUGUUCAUCUUCUCAGACUUAGGGUUUCUUCGAUGAGCUCCCUUCAUCUUCUCUGUCCACUUUUUGACCUGAAUCCAUAGUGGUUCACCACCCACCAAUCUCCUAUGGCUCCUCAAGCCUGAUUAGUGAAGAACCAUGACUUGACCACGAAAAAUUGAAUCUGGACUUUUGCCGAUUCAAUUUCUACAGCCAUCUCCGGCUCAAAUCCAGCGUAUCCUAGCCCUAUGAGUCCAUCUCUGACUCGUUCGACUCGGACCAUCCCCUUUUACAUGCCUCUCUCAUUUCUAGGAUUUCUCUAAAAUCCUAUGUCAUUUCGAGGUUUCUUAUUUCUUACUAGAUCUGGUUCAAACUUGUGCCAUUUCUGUGGGUUUCAAAGGAUUUCCUACAUUUUUUCAAAUUUUUGCUUUCAAAAACUGUUCGUCUUCUCAUGCUUAGGGUUUCUUUGAUUUUUUACUCAUUCUACUGUGACUUUCGCGUGGUGUUCUCGUUGUAUUUGCUCUUCUAUAACUCCUAGGUGUUUUACCGUGAUUUCUAUGUGUUUUCCUUUUACUAUGUUUCCUUCUAAGAUUUUCUGCUGAUCUUUUUUACUGUGUUUUCUCUCAUUAUGUUUUCAAGAAACGUUUUCCUUUGGAUUUUUUGAGUUUACUUUGCGUGGUUUGUAUGAUUUUGUCUUUACACGUGAUUAACGGAAUAAACCCUAGAAUUUGGGGUUUUUUUGGAUUACUUGUAUGUGAUUUAUUUGAUUCUCUUCUCUGAACUAGUUGGGUUUCCAAAACCCUAAUUUCUGCAUUCAUGAAGUUGUUUCGUCUAUGUUUCUACAUGUGAUUCUGACUUCUGCUAAACUUUGUGGAGCCUGUUGCCUGACCUUUUGCAUGAUCUCUAAUAUUUUUCUUUUUAGCUCUAUCCCUCUACUUACUGAUCC